rnacentral:rRNA from 1 species
AUUGAACGCUGGCGGCAGGCCUAACACAUGCAAGUCGAACGAGUGGCGGACGGGUGAGUAAUGUAUGGGAAACUGCCUGAUGGAGGGGGAUAACUACUGGAAACGGUAGCUAAUACCGCAUACCACAGGAUGUGCCCAGAUGGGAUUAGCUAGUAGGUGGGGUAAAGGCUCACAUAGGCGACGAUCCCUAGCUGGUCUGAGAGGAUGCCCACCCACACUGGAACUGAGACACGGUUCAGGUGCCUACGGUAGGCAGCAGGGGGGAAUAUUGAACAAUGGGCGCAAGCCUGAUGCAGCCAUGCCUCGUGUAUGAAGAAGGCCUUCGGGUUGUAAAGUACUUUCAGCGGGGAGGCGUUACCCGCAGAAGAAGCACCGGCUAACUCCGUGCCAGCAGCCGCGGUAAUAC